GAUAGAACGUAGCGAAAUGCGAUAAGUAAUGUGAAUUGCAGAAUUCAGUGAAUCAUCGAAUCUUUGAACGCACAUUGCGCCCGCCAGUAUUCUGGCGGGCAUGCCUGUUCGAGCGUCAUUUCAACCAUCAAGCCCCAGGCUUGUGUUGGGGACCUGCGGCUGCCGCAGGCCCUGAAAACCAGUGGCGGGCUCGCUGUCACACCGGGCGUAGUAGAUUUUAUCUCGCUCAGGGCGUGCUGCGGGUUCCGGCCGUUAAAAAGCCUUUUUUACCCAAGGUUGACCUCGGAUCAGGUAGGAAGACCCGCUGAACUUAAGCAUAUCAAUAAGCGGAGGA
rnacentral:misc_RNA from 1 species